rnacentral:rRNA from 1 species
UGGGGAAUUUUGGACAAUGGGCGAAAGCCUGAUCCAGCAAUGCCGCGUGUGUGAAGAAGGCCUUCGGGUUGUAAAGCACUUUUGUCCGGAAAGAAAUCCUUGGCUCUAAUACAGUCGGGGGAUGACGGUACCGGAAGAAUAAGCACCGGCUAACUACGUGCCAGCAGCCGCGGUAAUACGUAGGGUGCAAGCGUUAAUCGGAAUUACUGGGCGUAAAGCGUGCGCAGGCGGUUUGCUAAGACCGAUGUGAAAUCCCCGGGCUCAACCUGGGAACUGCAUUGGUGACUGGCAGGCUAGAGUAUGGCAGAGGGGGGUAGAAUUCCACGUGUAGCAGUGAAAUGCGUAGAGAUGCGGAGGAAUACCGAUGGCGAAGGCAGCCCCCUGGGCCAAUACUGACGCUCAUGCACGAAAGCGUGGGGAGCAAACAGGAUUAGAUACCCUGGUAGUCCACGCCCUAAAACGAUGUCAACUAGUUGUUGGGGAUUCAUUUCCUUAGUAACGUAGCUAACGCGUGAAGUUGACCGCCUGGGGAGUACGGUCGCAAGAUUAAAACUUAAAGGAAUUGACGGGGUCAUAGCUGUUUCCU